AAUAUUCUGUGGACAGAUGAAACCAAAGUUGAGUUGUUUGGAAGAAACACACAACACUAUGUGUGGCAAAAAAAGGCACAGCACACCAACAUCAAAACCUCAUCCCAACUGUGAAGUAUGGUGGUGGGGGCAUCAUGGUUUGGGGCUGCUUUGCUGCUUCAGGGCCUGGACGGAUUGCUAUCAUCGAAGGAAAAAUUAAUUCCCAAGUUUAUCAAGACAUUUUGCAGGAGAACCUUAAGGCCAUCUGUCUACCAGCUGAAGCUCAACAGAAGAUGGGUGUUGCAACUUGACAAUGAACCAAAGCAUAGAAGUAAAUCAACAACAGAAUGGCUUAAACAGAAGAAAAUACGCCUUCUGCAGUGGCACAGUUAGAGUCCUGACCUCAACCCGAUUGAGAUGCUGUGGCAUGACCUCAAGAAAGCGAUUCACCACAGACAUCCCAAGAAUAUUGCUGAACUGAAACAGUUCUGUAAAGAGGAAUGGUCAAGAAUUACUCCUGACCGUUGUGCACGUCUGAUCUGCAACUACAGGAAACGUUUGGUUGAAGUUAUUGCUGCCAAAGGAGGUUCAACCAGUUAGUAAAUCCAAGGGUUACAUAGACACAUAGAAUGUGACGGCAGAUAAGAACCAUUUGGCCCAUCUAGUCUGCCCAAUUUUCUAAAUACUUUCAUUAGUCCUUGGCCUUAUCUUAUAGUUAGGAUAGCCUUACGCUUAUCCCACGCAUGCUUAAACUCCUUUACUGUGUUAACCUCUACCACUUCAGGUGGAAGGCUAUCCCAUGCAUCUACUACCCUCUCAGUAAAGUAAUACUUCCUGAUAUUAUUUUUAAACCUUUGUCCCUCUAAUUUAAGACUAUGUCCUCUUGUUGUGGUAGUUUUUCUUCUUCUAAAUAUAGUCUCCUCCUUUACUGUGUUGACACCCUUUAUGUAUUUAAAUGUUUCUAUCAUAUUCCCCCUGUCUCGUCUUUCCUCCAAGCUAU